CAGUAGCCGCGGGAAUACGAAGGGGGCUAGCGUUGCUCGGAAUGACUGGGCGUAAAGGGCGCGUAGGCGGCGGCCAAAGUCAGGCGUGAAAUUCCCGGGCUCAACCUGGGGGCUGCGUUUGAUACUUGGUUGCUUGAGUGGGGAAGAGGGUCGUGGAAUUCCCAGUGUAGAGGUGAAAUUCGUAGAUAUUGGGAAGAACACUGGUGGCGAAGGCGGCGACCUGGUCCUUUACUGACGCUGAGGCGCGAAAGCGUGGGGAGCAAACAGGAUUAGAUACCCGUGUAGUCCCUGUCUCUUAUAC
rnacentral:rRNA from 1 species